rnacentral:rRNA from 1 species
UACAGAGGGGGCAAGCGUUGUUCGGAAUUACUGGGCGUAAAGGGCGCGUAGGCGGCCUGUUAAGUCGAACGUGAAAUCCCCGGGCUCAACCCGGGAACUGCGUCCGAUACUGGCAGGCUUGAAUCCGGGAGAGGGAUGCGGAAUUCCAGGUGUAGCGGUGAAAUGCGCAGAUAUCGGGAGGAACACCAGUAGCGAAGGCGGCUCGCUGGGCCAUACCUGACGCUGAGACGCGAAAGCGUGGGGAGCAAACAGG